rnacentral:rRNA from 8 species
AAAUUGAAGAGUUUGAUCAUGGCUCAGAUUGAACGCUGGCGGCAGGCCUAACACAUGCAAGUCGAACGGUAACAGGAAGCAGCUUGCUGCUUCGCUGACGAGUGGCGGACGGGUGAGUAAUGUCUGGGAAACUGCCUGAUGGAGGGGGAUAACUACUGGAAACGGUGGCUAAUACCGCAUAACGUCGCAAG